CAAUUAAUGAAUUACCGCCAAACUUGGGUCAUGUAUGUAUCUUGCAGAGCCAAUGAACUGAUUAGAUUUUGGAGUCCUAAGGUCAAGGGUUAUUGGGCUUAUUAUGUAUGCAAAAAUAGCUUAAUCACGCUAUUCUGAGAACCUGGUAAUGGUUUACAAUCAAACUUGAGUUUUUAAAAUUGCUUCUGUUUUGGUUUGUAAAUCGCUCUAUGGCGGAGGCAUUUUUUUUCGACUGCAUGCAGUCGAAGAUCCAUCUAGUUUUCUCAUAACUCAAGAAUGAUAGGUGGACUGGUUGAAUUAGGGCCUUUGUUGAAUACUAUUACAUUCGAAAAAAAUUACAAAACUUGGUAAGGGUAUGUGAAAUUUAGUUGUUAACUGUUUGUGCUACCCACUGUUCACUAUUCAAUAAUCCAAUCGAUUACGAGUUGAUUUUUAUUUGAAAGUUGCGGUGAAACUCUCUUUCAAAAUGCAAUUACAUGAACUCUGAUCGACUUUACCAGAUGACUUGUGAAUUCUCUAAUUCCCAUAUGCUUAGUACAGGAAGUUCCCAUUGGCAUCAGGUCAAUCUUCUAACACUUAUUCAUUUCUGAGCUUCCGAUCAACAGUAGCUACGAUGGCUUUGUCAUCACAGCUAAUGGUGAAUCGAAACAAGUCCUUCAAGCCCAAGCUAAUUACCAGGCUACCUUUGAGAACAUGAUUCCUGGGGAGACUUACAAGCGUGGAUGCGUACCGGUAUUCCUUUCUGUAUCCGCCAGAUUUGACAAGUCAGGCCCUCAUGGAUUUUACUUCAGUGUCCGUAAAAACAGAUACUCCUGACUCGGCGAUGAUCAGUCAAUCACCUCCACCUUAAUCACAGUCAGCUGGGGAGCUGUGUCUGGUGUGGUUCAGUAUUCUGUCACUAUCAGCCUGUUAGAAGGACUUCGUACAGAAAAUAUCAUGAGCAGAAAAGUUGACUUCACGCAGCUCACUCCAGGGAGGUUAUAUACGAUCACCCUCAUCUCAGAAUCACCCGGAGGGUCUCGUGACUCAAGUGCACAGCUCCGUCUCCACCGUCAUCACUGGUUGCCGAGACUCUUGAUGUGGAUGAUACAGAAGGCCUUCAACUUUACUGGACAAUAUAGCUACCAUCAGCAGGAGAGUGGGAUGCCAUUAAUUACUUAACUGUUUCCAGUGAAAAAUUACUACCGGUAUAUACUGGUGUUAAAAGGGUUGGCUUGGAGGUGAUUAACCCUAUUUAGCCCGGGCUAUUUUG